ACUGCUCAGUAACACGUGGAUAACCUGCCCUUGGGUCUGGGAUAACCCCGGGAAACUGGGGAUAAUACCGGAUAACGCAUAUGUGCUGGAAUGCUUUAUGCGUAAAACGGAUUCGUCCGCCCAAGGAUGGGUCUGCGGCCUAUCAGGUAGUAGUGGGUGUAAUGUACCUACUAGCCAACAACGGGUACGGGUUGUGAGAGCAAGAGCCCGGAGAUGGAUUCUGAGACAUGAAUCCAGGCCCUACGGGGCGCAGCAGGCGCGAAAACUUUACAAUGCGGGAAACCGUGAUAAGGGAACACCGAGUGCCAGCAUCAUAUGCUGGCUGUCCAGAUGUGUAAACUACAUCUGUUAGCAAGGGCCGGGCAAGACCGGUGCCAGCCGCCGCGGUAACACCGGCGGCCCGAGUGGUGACCGUUAUUAUUGGGUCUAAAGGGUCCGUAGCCGGUUUGGUCAGUCCUCCGGGAAAUCUGAUAGCUUAACUGUUAGGCUUUCGGGGGAUACUGCCAGGCUUGGAACCGGGAGAGGUAAGAGGUACUACAGGGGUAGGAGUGAAAUCUUGUAAUCCCUGUGAGACCACCUGUGGCGAAGGCGUCUUACCAGAACGGGUUCGACGGUGAGGGACGAAAGCUGGGGGCACGAACCGGAUUAGAUACCCGGGUAGUCCCAGCCGUAAACUAUGCUCGCUAGGUGUCAGGCAUGGCGCGACCGUGUCUGGUGCCGCAGGGAAGCCGUGAAGCGAGCCACCUGGGAAGUACGGCCGCAAGGCUGAAACUUAAAGGAAUUGGCGGGGGAGCAC
rnacentral:rRNA from 1 species